rnacentral:rRNA from 1 species
AUUGAACGCUGGCGGCAGGCCUAACACAUGCAAGUCGAGCGGAUGAAGGGAGCUUGCUCCUGGAUUCAGCGGCGGACGGGUGAGUAAUGCCUAGGAAUCUGCCUGGUAGUGGGGGAUAACGUCCGGAAACGGGCGCUAAUACCGCAUACGUCCUGAGGGAGAAAGUGGGGGAUCUUCGGACCUCACGCUAUCAGAUGAGCCUAGGUCGGAUUAGCUAGUUGGUGUGGUAAAGGCCUACCAAGGCGACGAUCCGUAACUGGUCUGAGAGGAUGAUCAGUCACACUGGAACUGAAACACGGUCCAGACUCCUACGGGAGGCAGCAGUGGGGAAUAUUGGACAAUGGGCGAAAGCCUGAUCCAGCCAUGCCGCGUGUGUGAAGAAGGUCUUCGGAUUGUAAAGCACUUUAAGUUGGGAGGAAGGGCAGUAAGUUAAUACCUUGCUGUUUUGACGUUACCAACAGAAUAAGCACCGGCUAACUUCGUG